AAAACCAGUUUUUAAGGGUUUAUUUAAAGUUUGGCCCGGUCCGGGAAAAUUUUUAAAAGCCCCGGGAUUUUAAAUGUGGUAAGGGAGCAUAAAAAUUUGUUUUUUAAAUGGGGUUUGGAAAGAAAGGUUUGACGGGAAAAUAACCUUAUUUUUUUUAUUUUUUUUAAAUUUAUUUUUUGGGUAAAAAACCUAAAAUUUUAAGAGGGGCGAUAAGACCCCAUAGAUUUUUAAAAUUAUUUGUAUUUUUUUUUUUUUGUUGUUUAUUUUUGAAUGUAAAUAUUUUUUUUAUUGGGGUGAUAGCAAAAAUUUUAGACUUUUGUUUAUUUUUACUUUUAUUUAUGGAUUUUUUGAUCUUUUUUUUAUGAUAAUAAGAUAAAGAUACCUUAGGGAUAACAGCGUUAUAAAAUUGGAGAGUUCUUAUUGAUAAUUUUGUUUGCGACCUCGAUGUUGGAUUAAAAUUUUACUGUGGUAUCAGGUAACACAGUUAUAGGUCACACG
rnacentral:rRNA from 1 species